GACGAACGCUGGCGGCGUGCCUAAUACAUGCAAGUAGAACGCACAGUUUAUACCGUAGCUUGCUACACCAUAGACUGUGAGUUGCGAACGGGUGAGUAACGCGUAGGUAACCUGCCUGGUAGCGGGGGAUAACUAUUGGAAACGAUAGCUAAUACCGCAUAAUAUUAAUUAUUGCAUGAUAAUUUAUUGAAAGGUGCAAUUGCACCACUACCAGAUGGACCUGCGUUGUAUUAGCUAGUAGGUGAGGUAACGGCUCACCUAGGCGACGAUACAUAGCCGACCUGAGAGGGUGAUCGGCCACACUGGGACUGAGACACGGCCCAGACUCCUACGGGAGGCAGCAGUAGGGAAUCUUCGGCAAUGGACGAAAGUCUGACCGAGCAACGCCGCGUGAGUGAAGAAGGUUUUCGGAUCGUAAAGCUCUGUUGUAAGAGAAGAACGGGUGUGAGAGUGGAAAGUUCACACUGUGACGGUAUCUUACCAGAAAGGGACGGCUAACUACGUG
rnacentral:rRNA from 1 species